UGGGUAAUAGCUCAGUGGUAGAGCACAUGCUUAGCAUGCAAAAGGUCCUGGGUUGAAUUCCCAGUACCUCAA
rnacentral:tRNA from 1 species